GUGCUUGCUUUGACAGCACAUAUACUAAAAUUUGGAAUGAUACAGAGAAGAUUAACAUGGCCCCUGUGCAAGGAUAGCACACAAAUUCAUGAAGGUUCCAUAUGUAUU
rnacentral:snRNA from 1 species